UACGUAGGGUGCGAGCGUUAAUCGGAAUUACUGGGCGUAAAGCGUGCGCAGGCGGUAAGUUAAGUCUGAUGUGAAAGCCCCGGGCUCAACCUGGGAAUGGCAUUGGAAACUGGCUUGCUGGAGUGUGGCAGAGGGGGGUGGAAUUCCGCGUGUAGCAGUGAAAUGCGUAGAGAUGCGGAGGAACACCCGUGGCGAAGGCGGCUCUCUGGGCCUUGCCUGACGCUGAGGCGCGAAAGCUAGGGGAGCGAACAGG
rnacentral:rRNA from 1 species